rnacentral:antisense_RNA from 1 species
CUUCACCGACCCCAGCCACAGCGGGGCGUCAGAGGGCCGCUCCUGACCAUAGGUCGCCAGCAGCGCCUGCGCCUC